rnacentral:rRNA from 1 species
UACAGAGGUCUCAACCGUUGUCCGGAUUCAUUGGGCGUAAAGGGUGCGUAGGCGGUCGCGCAAGUCGGAUGUGAAAUCUCAGGGCUCAACCCUGAAACUGCAUUCGAUACUGCGCGGCUAGAGUGCUGGAGGGGAGACUGGAAUUUACGGUGUAGCAGUGAAAUGCGUAGAUAUCGUAAGGAAGACCAGUGGCGAAGGCGGGUCUCUGGACAGUUCCUGACGCUGAGGCACGAAGGUCAGGGGAGCAAACGGG